ensembl:lncRNA
UGGUUAGAGGGUUGGCCCUUUUCAUCCCACCCCCAUGAAGGGCAGCCUCCAUGGAGGGCAGAGGGGCCGUGGAUUGAGUUACUACAGACGGCCAGAGAUUUACUCAGUCUUCCCUAAUGGAAGCUCCAUGGUUCAGGGAGCUUCAAGGGUUGGGGAACCCACCCACAAGCUGGGAGCGUGUUGCCCCCAGACUCCCCAGAGACAGAAGCUCCUGGACUGGGAACCCUCCUGGAUCUCACCCUUCAUUUCUUCCUGUGGCUGUUCAUCCCUUGAGGAUAAACAUCCCUUGAGGAUAAAGGCAGAUGGUCCCAGCGUCUGUAAAGAAGGGGUGUGACCCGUUCUCCUGCUUCUCAUGAUCUGUGUGUCUGUGGAAUUUGAUUUCUCAUUUGUUGGUUCUUACGCGGAUUCUUUACCACUGAGCCACGUGAGAAGCCCAGAGGCUGGGCCACCGUGUUCCCAAGCUAGACAGUUGUCCCCAAAUUCACCAUGGAAAGUCAACAUAUCCUACCUGGGCAACCCCAUGCAGCACUCACCUUUAUCGUGCUUUUCUGUAUAAAGAGAACAUUCUUUCCUCCUGGAGCUCAGGGAUCAGUGUGUUAUUCAGUUACUAACUUGUGUCCAAUUCUUUGCCACCCCAUGGACUGCAGCAUGCCAGGCUUUCCUGUCCUUCACCAUCUCCCGGAGUUUGCUCAAAGUCAUGUCCGUAGAGUCGAUGAUGCCAUCCAACCCUCUCAUCCUUGUCGUCCCCUUUUCCUCCUGCCCUCAAUCUUUCCCAGCAUCAGGAUCUUUUCCAGCCUUGCAAAAGUCAGUGAAAUUACAAGCCACGCUGUGUAGGGCCACCCGAGGUGGACGGGUCAUGGUGGACAGUUCUGACAAAAACCCUGGUGGUCCACUCCAAAUGGGUUGGCAAACCACUUCGGUAUUCUUGGCUUGAGAACCCCAGGAACAGAAUGAAAAGCCAAAAAGGAAUUGAGGAGAAAGAGAUAAGGCCCCGUCCCAUGCCCCGUCCCCGGCUGGUGCAGAACCUGCCCGCCGUGUUUACCCACACGCACGCCUCCCCGUGUCAGUACGGCCGGGCUGUGAUUUAUAGACACGCACACCCUGGAAUCAUUUAAAGUAGAUUAGAUUCAGGGCACAAUUCCUUCUAAUAUGACAAGCUGAUGCAGGCUGACAGGUAACUAGGUUACUUGGGAUGGCAAGCGAGUUCAAGAAAUUCUGAUUAAAUUAAAAUAUUAAUGGUACCGCUGGGAGAAGGAGAUUGAAUCGCAUUAGGAGCAUUCAGGAUGAGACCGGAGAUGCAGAUACAUGCUGGGGUGUGUGUGUGUGUGUGUGUGUGUGUGUGUGUGGAGGGUGGGGUGCCAGGGGAGGUUCUUUCCACUCAGAGGCACGUUCCAGGGAAAGGGGAGAUGAGGUGAGCCGCUGCUUUCUCCUCAGGUCUAGGACGGGACGCGCCUGCUGCAGAGAAUUUGGAUCCGAGCUCACCUCAUGU